rnacentral:snRNA from 1 species
UCCCAGUUCCGAACCCGUCG